AAAUGCAAACAAAUACAGAAGUAAGCUUGGGACACGCAUUACCCUACCUUUCAAUGAUACGAUCGCAAAAGCAGUGUGUGAGGUUUUCCAGUUCUUGGCAGUUCAGAAAAUAAAUCACCAGUUUUCUUUUAAAAAACAAGUUCAAAACUUAAUUAAUAUUUUGAAUAUUUUCUUUAAUCAUUAAAGUGCUUUAAAACUACUGCUUUCUCCUACCUUCUGGUUACCUUCUUUUCCUCAAGUCAAUUGUAUAAUGUUGAAUAGUGUAGCUGGGAUUAGGUGUUAUGUACUAUUACCACUCCCCAAUUGACACUCCCUCUUUCCCAGCGUAUGCAGUACAGGGUUUAUAUAGAGUGUAAUCUGCUAUCAGUGAUAAUCCUCCCCCAUUACACAUGGCUUCUCUGGAAAUAUGCAAUGCAGAAAGAGCACUACAUAUAAACCAUCUACAUGCACCCACUCUGCAACUCUAGACAAGGUGACGUGCUUAAGCAUCAUGUUUAAAAAUGACACCUGCAGCUUCCCCCCGGGG